AGCAAAAGGAGUGUUUCUCCACAUCUUCUCUCCCUGUUAUUCCUCCUCAUGUCUUUAAACAAAUUAACUUGCCCGUUGUCUUCAACCGCAGGGUUGUGCCACUUCUCCCUGGAAUUUAGCAGUGGGACAGGGGCAACUCCCCAAAUCUCUGAUGCAGCAUUUGAAUUAAUCAUCUUUCUUGGGUUGCAUUACCUUGAGUUGGAUGUGGUUUGUGAGGUCAGGGGGAGGAAGUCAAACCUACAGAUUUCAGGAGAGUGCAAUUGAUACAGAGCACAGUUUGGAAGGGUAGAGGCAGGAGAUGGUUUGUAGAAUGCUGCAUCAUCGACUGAGAGCGCCCGUGGGAGAAGCUGCUGGUGUUACUGCUAAGUCAGGCACUGUGGGGUGGAGGAAAUUAAUCAACACAAACAAGAGACAUGGGUCAAUUUGUCCGUUUAAUUGUGGACAUCUUGUGCAGAUGAAUUGCUGUCUUCAUUCUCAGACUUUCUAUCCAUUUCCUGAAAUUUUAGAAUUGUUGGAUUGACUAUGGUGAUGAUAUCCUGAAGGGAAGAAUGAAAGGAAGUAAAUUAACAUUUCAUGUGUUUCUCUCCUGCGUUAUCUAUUCCUUGCACAAACUUUCUCCCUUUGCUGUAAAUGCCGAGGCAGAUGUAACCAAAUGUCUCCCUCUCCUAACUUCAGCACCAAUUGGACAAUAAAAAAGAAUGCGUAAUUAUUCAA